GACGAACGCUGGCGGCGUGCUUAACACAUGCAAGUCGAACGGAAAGGCCCUGCUUGCAGGGUACUCGAGUGGCGAACGGGUGAGUAACACGUGGGUGUUCUGCCCUGCACUUCGGGAUAAGCCUGGGAAACUGGGUCUAAUACCGGAGAGGAGCCAUUUUUCGUGUGAGGGUUGGAAAGUUUUUUCGGUGGGGGAUGAGCUCGCGGCCUAUCAGCUUGUUGGUUGGGUAAUGGCCUACCAAGGCGGCGACGGGCAGCCGGCCUGAGAGGGUGGACGGCCACAUUGGGGCUGAGAUAAGGCCCAGACUCCUACGGGAGGCAGCCGUGGGGAAUAUUGCACAAUGGGCGCAAGCCUGAUGCAGCGACGCCGCGGGGGGGAUGACGGCCUUCGGGUUGUAAACUCCUUUCGCUAGGGACGAAGCUUUUUGUGACGGUACCUAGAUAAGAAGCACCGGCUAACUACGUG
rnacentral:rRNA from 1 species